GAUCAUGGCUCAGGAUGAACGCUAGCGGCAGGCUAACACAUGCAAGUCGAGGGGCAACGCGAGUAGCAAUACUUGGCGGCGACCGGCGCAAGGGUGCGUAACGCGUGAGCAACAUGCCCGUAUCAGGGGGAUAAUCCAGGGAAACUUGGUCUAAUACCCCAUAGUAAUUUUGUAAGGCAUCUUAUAAGAUUUAAAGCUUUGGUGGAUACGGAUUGGCUCGCGUGACAUUAGCUGGAUGGUAAGGUAACGGCUUACCAUGGCUAUGAUGUCUAGGGGUUCUGAGAGGAAGGUCCCCCACACUGGAACUGAGACACGGUCCAGACUCCUACGGGAGGCAGCAGUGAGGAAUAUUGGACAAUGGGUGGAAAUCUGAUCCAGCCAUGCCGCGUGAAGGAAGAAGGUCCUAUGGAUUGUAAACUUCUUUUGUAUGGGAGCAAUAAGGCCUACGAGUAGGUUGAUGAGAGUACCAUACGAAUAAGCACCGGCUAACUCCGUGCCAGCAGCCGC
rnacentral:rRNA from 1 species